CCGGGCGACUUGAGUGCAGAAGAGGACAGUGGAACUCCAUGUGUAGCGGUGGAAUGCGUAGAUAUAUGGAAGAACACCAGUGGCGAAGGCGGCUGUCUGGUCUGCAACUGACGCUGAGGCUCGAAAGCAUGGGUAGCGAACAGGAUUAGAUACCCUGGUAGUCCAUGCCGUAAACGAUGAGUGCUAGGUGUUGGAGGGUUUCCGCCCUUCAGUGCCGGAGCUAACGCAUUAAGCACUCCGCCUGGGGAGUACGACCGCAAGGUUGAAACUCAAAGGAAUUGACGGGGGCCCGCACAAGCGGUGGAGCAUGUGGUUUAAUUCGAAGCUACGCGAAGAACCUUACCAGGUCUUGACAUCUUGCGCUAACCUUAGAGAUAAGGCGUUCCCUUCGGGGACGCAAUGACAGGUGGUGCAUGGUCGUCGUCAGCUCGUGUCGUGA
rnacentral:rRNA from 2 species